UUUAGUAGGCAUCAAAUUAGUCCUCCCUCUGUAAAGAAAUAUAAGUGUUUCACUCUUAUAUUUGUUUACGGAGUAGUAGUUCUGGUACUGAAAUGGCUCUCAUCAAACAACAUUAUGUUAUUCAGUUUUUUUAUUAUCGCAUUAGGGUCAAACUUCUACUUCUGAUACUGAAAUGGCUCUCAUCAAACAACAUUCUGUUAUUCAGUUUUUUAUUAUCGCAUUAGGGUCAAACUUCUACUUCUGAUACUGAAAUGGCUCUCAUUGAACAUUUCUCAGUUAAGAAUUUUGCUAAAAGUUGCUAUUCUUGUUUUGUCUAGUGUUGGUUCCUAGCUCAAGUAAAUACUACGAGAUAAGCUCAUUUAGUACUUCCUCUGUAAAGAAAUAUGAUCGUUUAGAUCGCUAAAGUAGUGAUCUUAACGAUCUUAUAUUUCUUUACAGAGAGAGUAUCUUCUUAAGGGAAUCUUCGGAUGAUUAUUUACAUAAGGGGAUCUUGUUCUACAUUUUCUCUGUUCUUCCCAGUGCUGCAUUUGCAAUUUCUACAUGGUUGUAACAUUGCAUUUACUACGUUCCCCUUUCUGUUGUUUAUCAAUUAUUGAAUUUGUUCCCUCUAAAUGUAUGCAGAUCACACAGUAUUCUUUUGCCCUAUGGAGCGCAGAACUGCUUUUGAUCAGCGACUGGAGUGGUUUAUUGAUGCUACAGAACUAUUGAUGAUCUAGUCAGUUUGGAAAAUAUUCUGUAACAAUCUACUGCUUUUCAUCCUUUAGUUUCUGUGGCAUGGUAGGGGGCUGGUAUAGAUCUUGGUAAAGAAACGUAAGGCAAGAUCAGGACAGUGAAAAUAUUAUAACUAAUUAGCUUUUGCCGAAGUUUGAUGGAAUUAGCUAGCAAUUUUCGAAAGAGUACACUUGUGGUCCGUUUGAACUUGUUCAUCGUGCUUGCUUACCACGCCCGUGGUGCCUAAUUUCCUUUCUGUGUUACUUUUUUUUCUGCAUUUCAGUUUGAUAAUAGAAUUGUCCUAUCGUUGGAGACGCUGGCAACUACUGAUUCAUAAAUUGGAUGUGGUUUUUAGUAGUUCUUUCUGGCUUGCUAAAACUAGUUGAUCCGUCAGUUUCUUUUGUGGAGCUGCUUAACUCUGCCGUUGGCAUGAGUGUGCAGGUUAAGGCCCUGUUUGCAUUGUCGUUUUCAGUCCAAAUACACUUGUAAAGAAUACAAGCCUCCACCCGUCGUUUUCGUUUCCUCCUGGAAACUGCACUCGGCCGGUAAAAUACACCCGUAUAGAAAAUACACCCGCAUUUCAAUACAUCCAUUCCAAGCGCAGCCUAAGGAUAUGCCUGUAAGCACAUUAAACCUGUCCUCUCCACGCUCAAAUAGCCUAGAUCUUUGUUGUCACCUCAAAGUGAUUGAGGAGGGGCCCAUGUGCUUGCAAUAGAAUCUUAAAAAAUAGCUGUGGGUUUGCAUUCGGAGCAAGAGUGGGCGCAAUUGCUUCACUGCAUCCUGAAAUCAACCGUACUUGAGCUUAGUUGAACAGAUGCAGGGUUCCUGCUGGUUGCCGCCGGCGGUGGGAUCUGCUCAUGUCGCUACUGGGAGGGGGUGCUGCCUAGUUUCGAUCCGCUUUUUUCGGGUGGUGUAUCUGCCGGCGGUGCUAGCUCCGAGCGGUAGAGUGCAUCGAGGCGGGAGGUGGUGUUGUGGUGGAGGCCUGUGUGCUUUGCUGCGGUGGUUAGCGUGGUGCCCUGAUAUGGCGCAAGAGGCCGGGAACGCGUCUAUGCAUUUGGUGCAUGGCUUGGUCUCGGGCAGUGCUCCUCUUUGCCUUGCUGGCAUGGUGCGGUGGUUUGUGCCGUGUCCGGUGGCCUUGCUUUUGGUGGUCUUGCUUCCCGUCGGCUAACGGAUGCAUCGCUGCUUUGCUGCUGCACCCCUCCCACGUGGAUCUGGCCAUCACGUUGUCUCCGAGGGAAACCUUUGAUCUUGUGUGAUCGAACGAUGACGACGCCUUGGCGUCGUAUACCCUCCUGGGGACUUUGUCUUUGGAGUUGUAGGUGAUGUCUGCGACGCGACAAUGGUUAAGAUAGUCGGCUCUUCUCCGAUGUGUCCACGGGAUUGCCUAGAUUUUUUUGUUUGUUGCUAUGAGGUCGAACAUGCAGCGACGGGUCCCUGUGACGUACAAUGUGACGUACAAUGACUAGCUGCAGGUGGCCGUUCGGUGAUCUUUUAUGGCGUCAGUCGUGCCUGGUUUUGUCUUUUAUAGUUCUUUGUCAGAGUCAGAGCUGCGCUGUUUGAUUGCAUGUGGGUGACUUCUGACGCGAAUCUUCAUACAACUUAACCCAACCUAUAUAGUGUGGGUUGAGUCGACGAUCGUCUGCUGGUCGUUUGCUCAGAGCUUAGGGACGACGAUGACGCCUUCUAGGAGAGGGACCAUGACAAUGACACCUACGUGCGGUCUUAGCAAAACUUUUUUCUAGUUAACCGAGCAACUUUUUUCUUUUUAAUGAAUGAAGAAAUCCUGCUAUUUUAAAAAACUUAUGAUUUUAAAGCAGCACGAAAUGAACUAGAAUUCGUACUCCGGCUGAGAGCAUUGGUGGAGUAUGUAGCAGUCACGUCUCCGUGAACCGUAGUACUGAUGUACCUGUGACUCCAGCCUUUCGAUGGAAAAGGAAAUGACCAUAAUUUGUUUGAUGUUCACACUUUGUAGACAGAACUUCUGCAUUU
rnacentral:lncRNA from 1 species